CCUACGGGCGGCAGCAGUGAGGAAUAUUGGUCAAUGGACGAGAGUCUGAACCAGCCAAGUAGCGUGAAGGAUGACUGCCCUAUGGGUUGUAAACUUCUUUUAUAUGGGAAUAAAAUGUUCCACGUGUGGGAUUUUGUAUGUACCAUAUGAAUAAGGAUCGGCUAACUCAGUGCCAGCAGCCGCGGUAAUACGGAGGAUCCGAGCGUUAUCCGGAUUUAUUGGGGUUAAGGGGAGCGUAGGUGGAUUGUUAAGUCAGUUGUGAAAGUUUGCGGCUCAACCGUAAAAUUGCAGUUGAAACUGGCAGUCUUGAGUACAGUAGAGGUGGGCGGAAUUCGUUGUGUAGCGGUGAAAUGCUUAGAUAUCACGAAGAACUCCGAUUGCGAAGGCAGUUCACUGGACUGCAACUGACACUGAGGCUCGAAAGUGUGGGUAUCAAACAGGAUUAGAUACCCGUGUAGUC
rnacentral:rRNA from 1 species